rnacentral:tRNA from 1 species
GGCUGGCUGGCUCAGUGGAUAGAACACAGGACUCUUGAUCUUGGGGUUGUAAGUUCAAGUCCUAUGCUGGGUG